ensembl:rRNA 5S_rRNA 5S ribosomal RNA
AGCCACAGCCAUAUCACCCUGCAGCCCAAGACCACUUACUCACUGAAGCUAAGCAGGGCAGAGCCUGGUCAGUACCUGGAUGGGAAACCACAUGGGAAAACUAGGUUGCUGUAGGAA